GAUGAACGCUGGCGGCGUGCCUAAUACAUGCAAGUCGAGCGAACAGACGAGGAGCUUGCUCCUCUGACGUUAGCGGCGGACGGGUGAGUAACACGUGGAUAACCUACCUAUAAGACUGGGAUAACUUCGGGAAACCGGAGCUAAUACCGGAUAAUAUAUUGAACCGCAUGGUUCAAUAGUGAAAUACGGUUUUGCUGUCACUUAUAGAUGGAUCCGCGCCGCAUUAGUUAGUUGGUAAGGUAACGGCUUACCAAGGCAACGAUGCGUAGCCGACCUGAGAGGGUGAUCGGCCACACUGGAACUGAGACACGGUCCAGACUCCUACGGGAGGCAGCAGUAGGGAAUCUUCCGCGAUGGGCGAAAGCCUGACGGAGCAACGCCGCGUGAGUGAUGAAGGUCUUCGGAUCGUAAAACUCUGUUAUUAGGGAAGAACAAAUGUGUAAGUAACUAUGCACGUAUUGACGGUACCUAAUCAGAAAGCCACGGCUAACUACGUG
rnacentral:rRNA from 1 species